rnacentral:rRNA from 1 species
UUUCCGUAGGUGAACCUGCGGAAGGAUCAUUGUCGAGACCUAUCGAGCGAUCUUGAGAACCCGUCAAAAUAAGCGGUGGCUAUUGUUGCUGAGAUAAAGUCCAUCCCGAUCAUCACCUCAUCCCUUCUUUGUGGCGGGACGUGAUGAAGGAUGGAUGAACUCUCAAAUCGGCGCAGUGUCGCGCCAAGGGAAUAUCGAAACACGACCCCUAAAAUGGGAUAUAUGGAACGGGGUGCUAUUACACGCCAUAUGGAUUGACAUGACUCUCGGCAAUGGAUAUCUCGGCUCUCGCAUCGAUGAAGAGCGCAGCGAAAUGCGAUACGUGGUGCGAAUUGCAGAAUCCCGUGAACCAUCGAGUCUUUGAACGCAAGUUGCGCCCGAGGCCAAUCGGCCAAGGGCACGUCUGCCUGGGCGUCAAGCAUUUAAUCGCUCCGUGCCUAGCCAUCCAUUGAUGGAUGUGUUGGCGAAGGCUCGGAUGUGCACGGUGGCUCGUCGUGCCCCUUGGUGCGGCGGGCUGAAGAGCGGGUCAUCAUCUCGUUGGUUGCGAACAAUAAGGGGUGGAUUAAAUUGAGGCCUAUGCUAUUGUGUCAUGCAUGCCUAAGAGAUGAUUAUACCUUUGACGUGAUCCCAAAUCAUGCGUCGAUCCAUGGAUGGCGUUUUGAAUGCGACCCCAGGAUGGGCGAGGCCACCCGCCGAGUUUAA